UCCUCCAAACUAGGUCCGACUCUGACCUCCAUUUUCUUCACCAUCAAAUCUCGCCGGGUUCACCAUCAAAUCUCGCCGGGAAAAGUGAAGCUUAAGAUUCAUAUCCACCGUCAUUAGCCUUCGAACUCAUCUCCACCACCGCCGUUCUUACUUAAGUUUAGGUGCUUCCAAGAAAGAGGAGCGCAAAUUUGAGAAAAACACGAGUUUUGUUUUCCAAAAUCAUGGAGGCUGUUGCAACCUCAAGUGCUAAGAAUAUAAUUCACAAGAAUCAGGGAGACCAUUGCAACCUUAAAUGCUAAGAAGACAACUCAGAAGAAGAGAAAGAGUGCAAUAAGACGAAAAAAGAAAGUGAAGGGAUAUGACCUAUCCCACCCAAAUGAGUUCUUGCCUGAGCUGAAAGAAGAACAACAACUUGCUCUUCCACCUAACGAAGUGAACUGCAAAUCCAGACAAAACCUAUUGAACUUGGGAUUUUGGUCAUGAUGGUUCUGCUAAUGGUUUAAAUCGGAGAAGUGGAGACCGUUUGGAUAGUUCCAUGCCACGAAACUUUCGACCUAUCCUACUUCCAAAGACCAUCAAGAAGCAAGAGGAGACUAUCUGCAGGGGGCAUAAAAAUUUCGAGUUGAUGCUCAACUUGCAGCUAGGAAUAAGGUAGUUUAUUACAGAAUUUGCCCUUUUCUAAGCAUCUUUCUCUACUUCUGUAUCAGUUCAUGCCCUUGUUUGCUUCUCAGUCAUCUGUUUUGAUAUAUAUUUGAACAUAAUGUAUUUAUAUGUAGGAAAAUAUGGGUUAGUUGAUGAUUAAGUUGUAUGUAAUGUAAUGUAUAAACAUUAAACAGCCUUGGGUAUGAUUGUGCAGACAUUCUGUAGGAAGACCAGGGCCACCAGUAAAGCGUGACUUGAAGUCUUCGGCUUUUGAUCCCAAACGAGCCUUAAAUGCGCAUAACUUGACAAAAGUAGAGAUAAUGAGUCUUAUCAUCCUAAUAUUAAGUAUAUUAAACAUUUAAAUUAUUUAGGAUACUUAUUUAGCUUCAUUAGUUGAGAGUUGGGAGCGAAAAUAACCAUUAUAGUCAAAAUAUGUCCUAUAACGAUCAAACGAGCCUUAAAUGUGCAUAACUUGACAAAAGUAGAUGAGAAUGAGUCUUAUCAUCCUAGUAUUAAGUAUAUUAAACAUUUAAAUUGUUUUGAAUUGUUUAGGAUACCUAUUUAGCUUCAUUAGUUGAGAGUUAACCCUUAUAGUCAAAAUAUGUCAUAUAACGAACAAACGAGCCUUAAAUGUGCAUAACUUGGAAAAAGUAGAUGACAAUGAGUCUUAGAAACCUAAUACUAAGUAUAUGAAAGAUGUAAAGGGUUAAGAAUACCUAUUUAGCUUCAUUAGUCGAGAGUUGGGAGCGAAAACAACCAUUAUAGUCAAAAUAUGUCCUCUAACGAUCAAGUGAGCCUUAAAUGUGCAUAAUUUGACAAAAGUAGAUGAGAAUGAGUCUUAGAAACCUAAUACUAAGUAUAUUAAACAUGUAAGGAUUUAGAAUACCUAUUUAGCUUCAUUAGUUGAGAGUUGGGAGCGAAAACAACCAUUAAAGUUAAAUAUGUCCUAUAACGAUCAAACGAGCCUUAAAUGUUCAUAACUAGACAAAAGUAGAUGAGAAUGAGUCUUAUCAUCAUAAUAUUAAGUAUAUUAAACAUUUACAUUGUUUAGAAAACCUAUUUAGCUUCAUUAGUUGAAAGUUGAGCGAAGAUAACCCUUAUAGUCAAAAUAUGUCAUAUAACGAACAAACGAGCCUUAAAUGUGCAUAACUUGACCAAAGUAGAUGGGAAUGAGUCUUAGAAACCUAAUACUAAAUAUAUUGAACAUGUAAAGGGUUUAGAAUACCUAUUUAGCUUCAUUAGUUCAGA